GCAAGAUGAAAGCAGAGCGACAGAGAUGUCUCUCAAAAGGCAUUCAUUGUUUAAUGAUGGCGUGGAGCAAAAUAUGCCUCCUGUAAGAGGGUCCAAUUGCUCUGUUCCACUCAUUUGGAACUCAACAUCUACAGGAAAGUGGAGGUCUUCAAAGUGUAACAAGCCACGAGACUAUCGUGAAUGGGACAAGUUCGACGUGGAAAAAGAAUGUCAGAAAAUUGAUGGCGGCCUUGUCGAAAACAUUCGGCCUGCGAUUAUAAACACAGAACGCCCCAAAGCUGAAGUGGAUCCUUCAUGUAACACAUUAAGUUUUUGCAGCUCCUUCAGCCUUUUGUUGACAUGUGAGUACAACAACUAGCGAUGUUUCAUAACCAUACUGUACAUCCAGUGCUGACCACAGAGGAAAAACUUCUUCUGGCAAAGCGUGAGAAAGACAAAGGCAAUGAAGCUUUCAGAGCGAAUGAUUAUGAAGAGGCAAUUGCAUACUACUCCAGAAGCAUAUGCAUUAUGCCUAUGGUGGCUGCAUACAACAACAGAGCCCAGGCAGCGAUUAAGCUGAAGCGUUGGACUAGCGCCAUGAGGGAUUGCAACCACAUAUUGGAGCUCGAACCCUGCAACG